rnacentral:tRNA from 1 species
CGGGGUAUAGCUCAGUGGUAGAGUGCGUGCUUAGCACGCACGAGGUCCUGUGUUCAAUCCCCACCACCUCCA